rnacentral:misc_RNA from 1 species
AAGUCGUAACAAGGUCUCCGUUGGUGAACCAGCGGAGGGAUCAUUACCGAGUUAUCAACUCCCAAACCCAAUGUGAACAUACCCAUUGUUGCUUCGGCGGAACGCCCCGGCGCCCUCGCGGCCCGGACCCAGGCGCCCGCCGGAGACCCCAAACUCUUGUUUCCCCAGCGGCAUCUCCUCUGAGUGGCACAAACAAUGAAUAAAAACUUUCAACAACGGAUCUCUUGGUUCUG